ensembl:lncRNA
CUGAAAAGACAUAAAGGAAGCAGUCACCCCAGUGGUGUUUGUGGAGAGGUAUUCCUUCAGAAAUGGAGAAGACAGAAAGCUGCAGAGGCAGGAUUGUUUGCAGAUAAUGCUGUUCUUCUUUUUCAGAAGUUUUUGGUGAGCCAACUCUCACAAACCUUCCUAAAAACUAAAAGAGCUAUUACUGAGUCUCGGCUAAUCUUGCCAUGGUCAGCUCUUCCCAGAAGAGAAGGAAGACCAAGGAAAUUAUUUGCUCAGGAUGAGAAAUGAAGAUGGCCAUCUUGUGCUCAAACAAACAGAAGUCCUCUGGUAUGUGUGUGUUGAAGCAAUGCUGUCUUAUGUGUUACAGGACUUUAUGAUUCCUGUAACUCUAUGAUUAUUCUUUCCAAUGUUUUUAUAUUUAUUUUAUUUUAUUUGAUACAGCUAUUAUAAUUAUAGCAUGUUAGCAAAGUGUGACUGGAACAUUUUUAAUCUAAAAUUUUUAAAAAACACCACCUGUUUUUCUUAAAAGAACACAAGUGUCAUAAAAGUGGUUUAAUUGAUAUAAACACAAAUUUACAUUAUCUCAUUGUUUUAUAAAUGUUGUGUUAUGGAUUGUGGAUUGAUAGUUGAUUGGUUUGAAGCCAGGCCUUAACCCUGCUCAGACUAAAACACAUUUGUGAGAGAAGUCAGGAACUUUGGAGAAAGAUUCUAGAAAAAAAAAAGACACAUUUACUGCAACAAUAGAUGAAUUCUAGAGUCUCUGAGAACUACACAUGCUAAUGCAGUCUCAUGAGCAGGACCUUUGCCUCUGUAACUUUUUCUUAAUUCUUGCAGAAUGAAAUUUUUAUUGCAGUAUUUUAAUUUGUACAGAUGAUCUCAUCAGCCAAAUGAGGGGUUUUGACCAAGUGAUGCUCUUGAAAGGAGUGAAAGAAGAGGAUGUGGUAAAUUGUCUUAAAGCAGCUUGAAGAAUGGUAAGUGUACAGUACUACAAGGGUCAUAGUUGCUCACCCUGCUAAAAUCACACAGAACAUAAGCUGAGCUCUCUGUCCAUUAAACAACUUCAUCUGGAUUGUUUGUUUCACUUUGACCAGGUCUGGGAUGUUAGGACUGAGAGAUCCUCUGACUGAGAGAAGCUACACCACAUCAGUGCUGGAUAUCAACCACAAACUGUUUCCAGACACGAGAGAAGAAGAUCAUGAUGGGGAGAUGAAACCAGUUUAGAUGUGAUGAUAAGGAAUCAUUAUUUUCUGAAACAGGAUCAAAUGUCUUAUAUGUAUCACAUGAUCUGUAUCACAGUUGACUGGAUGGGACUGUGUGACUCUUAAGGACAUUUCAUCACUCAUCUGUGUGAACUGAUUAAUAUAUGAGGUUAAUGUAUUUUUGAUUAUGAAUAAUUAUUUUCCUUGAAUCUUAUUUGUCUUGAUGCUACUUUAUCAUCUGUAUAGUCUAUGCUUCAAUAAAAUGAAAAUUGUGAAUAUUGUGUUCUGAAGA